rnacentral:siRNA from 1 species
GUGCGCUUCAAAAUGUUUGGACG